UUUGAUCCGCUCAGAUUGAACGCUGGCGGGAUGCUUUACAUAUGCAAGUCGAACGGCAGCAAUGGACUUCGGUCUGGUGGCGAGCGGGCGAACGGGUGAGUAAUGUAUCGGAACGUGCCUAGUAGCGGGAUAACUACGCGAAAGCAGCUAAUACCGCAUACGCCCUUCGGGGGAAAGUGGGGGACCCGGGCCCGCAAUUUUAUUAGAGCGUGUCAUAUCGGGAUUAUGAAUAGUUGCGGGUAAUUUGCUCACUGGCAAGAUGAUCCGUAGCUGGUUUGAGAGGACGACCAGCCACACUGGGACUGAGACACGGGUCGCCCUACGGGAGGCAGCAGUGGGGAAUUUUGACAAUGGGGGAAACCUCGAUCCAGCCAUCCCGCGUGUGCGAUGAAGGCUUCGGGUUGUAAAGCACUUUUUGGCAGGAAAGAAAACGGCACGGAUAAUACCCCGUGCAACUGACGGCCUGCAGAAUAAGCACCGGCUAACUACGUGCCAGCAGCCGCGGUAAUACGUAGGGUGCAAGCGUUAAUCGGAAUUACUGGGCGGAAGCGCAGCAGCAGGCGGUUCGAAAAGAAAGAUGUGAAAUCCCAGAGCUUAACUUUGAACUGCAUUUUUAACUACCGAGCUAGAGUGUGUCAGAGGAGGGGGAAUUCGCGUAGCAGUGAAAUGCGUAGAUAUGCGGAGGAACACCGAUGGCGAAGGCAGCCUCCUGAUAACACUGACGCUCAUGCACGAAAGCGUGGGGAGCAAACAGGAUUAGAUACCCUGGUAGUCCACGCCCUAAACGAUGUCAACUAGCUGUUGGGGCCUUCGGGCCUGGUAGCGCAGCUAAUUGCGGUGGUUGACCCGCCUGGGGAGUACGGUCGCAAGAUUAAAACUCAAAGGAAUUGACGGGGACUCCGCACAAGCGGUGGAUGAUGUGGAUUAAUUCGAUGCAACGCGAAAACCUUAAUUUACUCCUGACAUGUCUGGAAUCCCAAGAUUUGGGAAUGUUGUAAGAGAACCGGAACACAGGUGCUGCAUGGCUGUCGUCAGCUCGUGUCGUGAGAUGUUGGGUUAAGUCCCGCAACGAGCGCAACCUCUUGUCAUUAGUUGCUACGAAAGGGCACUCUAAUGAGACUGCCGGUGACAAACCGGAGGAAGGUGGGGAUGACGUCAAGUCUCAUGGCCUUUAUGGUGGGCCAUACUGCUCAUACAAUGGUCGGGACAGAGGGUCGCCAACCCGCGAGGGGGAGCCAAUCCCAGAAACCCGAUCGUAGUCCGGAUCGCAGUCUGCAACUCGACUGCGUGAAGUCGGAAUCGCUAGUAAUCGCGGAUCAGCAUGUCGCGGUGAAUACGUUCCCGGUCUUGCGCCACACCGCUCCGUCACACCAUGGAGGGCUUUACCAGAAGUGUUAGCUUCAACCGUAUGAGGAAGAUUGGCCACGGUAGGAUUCACAUUUGGGGUGGAAGUCAAAAUACAA
rnacentral:rRNA from 1 species